GUAAGAAAGUUACAUGACCCAAUGGGAAGGAUUCUUCUUCAAGAAUAGCCCCUUUGGGGACUCCAGGCAGCCAGACAGUCACCCCUACAGACUGAUAAGAGGUCCCAGAUCUGCAGCCACGCCCAGCCUCAGGGGCUGUCCUGUGCCAUGGAGGAUGUUUAGCACCAUCCCUGGUUGCUACCCACUAGAUGCCAGUAGCACUUCUCCCCAGUUCUAACAACCAGAAGUGUCUGCAGACACUGGCAAAUGUCCAUCUAGUUGAGAACCACUGCUUUAAGCAGGGGGCGCCUGUCUGCUGCCUCCAAAGGGCCAGCACAGAGCAGCCAAUGCCUGGCUCCACCAAGAUGAACUCUUAGGAUUCUACCUAGACACUCAAAGAUUCAAAUGUCUUUGGUGUAGGAUUGGGCUUGAGUGGCCAAGAGCUUCGAUGAGAAUGGAAACAAGUGUAUGGAAGUCUGAAGCCUGCAAAGCAGAUCGAGUUUCAAUCCUGGGUGGAGAGUCUUCAAAGGGAAAGAACUGCCUGUUGCCUAAAAGUGGCCUCGCCAAUGUCCACGUUCUAACUUCUGGAACCUGUGCAUGUAACCUUAUUUGGAGAAAGGAUCUGUGCAGAUGUAAUUAAGACUCUUGAGAUGUGAUUGCCCUAGAUCAUCUGGAUGGACCCUAAAUUCAAAGACAAGUGUCUUCAGAAGACACAGAAGAGAAGACACAGAGAAGAGAUGGCCAUUUAAAGAUGGAAGCAGAGACUGAAGUGAUGCAGACAACCAAGGAACACUGGGAGCCCCCAGAAGCUGGAAGAGGCCAGGAAGGAUUCUCCCGUGGGGUCUUCAGAGGCACUGUGGCCUUGAUGUUGCCUUGAUUUCAGACUUUUGACCUUGAGAAUGGGCCUCAGUUUCUUCAUUUGUCAGAUGGUUUUGGAAGCUCAUCCCUCAUAGCUGAAUGAUAGCCAGAUGUAAGAGGAGAAGUAGAGUGCUGGUUGGAAGAAAUCCUAGAGAGAGCUGCUCCCAUCUCCUAUCUGACUUUGCCCAACAGCUCUCCAGACUCCACUUUCCACCUUCUGCAGCCAGGAAAGCCCAGCAGAUUCUCCUGGUCAUUGAGGAGGCCUUCUCUGUGAAGCUCAAGUUUCAGUGGUAUGUCUGCACAUUGGUAUUGUUGGGGAAGAGGGGUUUUGGGGAAUGAAUAAAGUUUUGGAAGCCAGAUGCUAGAAUCUACCAGAGAACUCUCACAAUGGCCAUGAAGACCUACCGAGGCCUCAGAGAUCCAGGCAUUAAUCCAAGGAGAUGCUGGAGUUGUGGCUGAGGAACUGGGGCUGGUGUGUGGGGAGCCAAUGCUCGCUCCAAUGGACAUCUACUGUUUGGUCUUCCCAAAACCUCUCUUCCAGGAAUCAACUCUCCCAUACCCAAACUACAAGGUUGCAGUGGGAAAUGCCAUGUUUCUACAAUAUGACCCUAGUCCCUGGUCACUUGAUUGGUCUAGGGUCAGGUACUUAACCCAUACCAGAACAAUAAUAUUUCUGGUUUUUCCAACCAGGGAUAGAGAUGAGAGAAGAAGAGCUAUGUUAACUUCUCUCCAGCUGAUUGGUCCGAUAACAUGUAACUCUUAAGUUCUUUUGACAGCCAUAUUUUCUCCCCUGUGUGAAAGUAACAAGCAGGAGAAACUGAUCUAAUGAGAGAAUGAAACAUGAGGAGAUUCCCAGUGGCAUCUGAGUUUCUGAUUCUGCUCCAUGGCAUAUAGUAUUUCAUUCCUGAGGUUAGGCUCUAAUCUAGUCCUUUGUCUCUGUGGCAUGCCCCUGUAUCGUUAUAAUUAAGUUUCCCCUUCUUGAUAAUGCAGGUGGAUUUUUGUUAUUUAUAAUCCAAAAAAGCUAAGGAAUAAUGUGAACUUUCUUACCAGAUAAUUCAUUCAUUCAAGUGCAUCCUUCUUGUGCCACCUCCAUGCUUGGUUACCAUGAAGGUGUUGGAAAUCCAAUGAUCAAUAGUAUAGACAUAGUAUCUACCCUCAGGGACCUUAUACUUGGAGGUGGGAAAAGAGGUUAGGGCAGGGCAGACCUGGAACACAUACUAUACAGGUAAACUCCGGGUUUCUGAGAGCAUACAACAAGAUUAUGAGAGCGUACAAGGUGAGAACUAAAGGAAUGCGCAGGAGUUGACUGGAACGAGUUAGGAAUUAUGAUGUAAAGGAGGGAGAGCAUCCCAGUCUGGAAGAAGAGCAUGAAUAAUAUACCAUGAAGCCAGCAUCCUCUACAAAGAAAGCAACAUUUCAGUUAAGCGUCCUGGUUUCUCAUCUACCCCUACUUUGGGCCCUCUGCUAAUACACUGGUAAGAAAACUCUUUCCUUUUGCCCAGAAGCAACCGCCUUGUCUUUUUCAGAUUCUUCUAUUCCUUAUUGAGCGAUUACAAAGGGAGAAACACAAAAUGCCCCCUCUCAUUGAUUCCCAUUUUGGUAGAGAAAGCUAGAUUUCAUCCUAAUAGCCGCUCUCCUCACCUUCCUUAUUACUAUGUUAGGGGCAGCAAAGUGGCUGGCUAAUAAAACCACAUUUCCCAACCUUACUUGUAGAGGGGGAUGGCUAAGGAGAGGUCACUGGAAGUGAUUGGAUAAGGUUUUUAGAAAGCUGUUUAAAGGGGUUAAUUUAGCUAGCAAGCACCUCUUUGUCCUUUCCCCCUGUUCUUGCUUAUUUGUCCCUGGGACCAGGACUUGAUGGUUGGAGCUCCAGCAGUCAUUUUCAUCUCCGAGUUGAAGUUGUGUGCUAAGAAUGACAGAGCAGAAGGCAGGAUUCCAGUUUUUGAAACUUGUAGAGUCCCCACACCAGCCUGGCCUGCCUGGAGACAGUUUAUCAUUUGAGAAAAUAAAUGGAAGCUCAGAAAAGUUAAGGGAAAGUCACACAGCAGUACAUUAGAGCCGGGAAGCUCUGCUUCCUAGAAUUCCUUGCAGCUGGCAUUCCAAACAUGGUUUAGAAACUGCCAAUUAAAUGAACUUACAUGAGACUGGAUCCUGGAACUAAGAGGGGGAGAGGCAGCAGGUCUCAAUUAUAUACGCCUUCCAAGGAGUGAUGGCAAAUGCCUUUCUUCUCUCGUGCACCCUCUCUGAUCAUCUGGCUGGGUUGCUGUGUUGAGAAGCGUUCUGUGGAUAUACCUGGGGCUUGUGAAAAGGUACAGGGAUCAGUUAGCAAAAUCUUCCAUUGCCACCAAAUUGAGUGAGUGUUGACAGCAGGGAAGUGGUGGUGGGGGGAGGAUGAACAGCACACUUGGGGUGCAUUUGCAGAUUUCAUUCCAGGUCCAGGUCUAAUGCGUCCCCCUCCAUCCCCAUGAAGACUUUCCUGCUCCUCCAAGUAAAAUUAACCUGCUUUCCCCCCCCGAAUAUUUAUAACAUUCUCCCUACACUCUGUGAGAGCACAGAUUGUUCCUACCACCUUUUACGGGUACAUCUGUUUUGUUGUCCUGUUUUGUUUGUUUUCUAUUUGAGGAGACAGUAUCCUACAGCGUAUGAUACAGGUAGGGAUUCAAAACACAUUAACUGGAUGGAUGGAGCCGCGUGAACACCAGGACGAGUGAAUUGUUACAGAAGAGCCUCUAGGGGCCUGUCUCAUCAAGCCGACUUACCCUACAGGUCUCCACCCAGAGAAGACUCUAAGAAUGGUGUUAUGGUGGCCGUGUUCUCACUCAUGAACCAAUUUCCUGCAUUGUUACUUCUGCCUGACCUGUCAUUUGCUAUCUUCUUGUGAGUCUGUGACCACUGAAAUCUGAGGUCCCAGCCACUUUCAUUCCUUUACUCAAACCAUUUUUGAUGCCUCCUUGGUGGCCAGUUCUAUGCUCACUGUUAGGGGCACACAGAUGGUGUCCUGUCUUCAGUCUGAUCACUCACUUGGGGAGAGUGAGGUGCUGGUGGAGGAAAGACUGAGAGCUGAGUCACAGGACAUGUGGGACCAGUGAUGUGCACCCUAAGGGAAGAGCAGAGGAAUAUGGAGGGAGGACAGCAGAGGCUGCUGGAGGAGGAGGGGUGGCAGAAGUUGUUAACACACCCACCCAAUUCCCUCUUUGUCUAUACUCCUCAGCACCUCAUAACUAUGUUGCCUGAUGGCCAUUGCUGCAAGCUGUCCUCCCCAGUGCCAGGACCUGAACAGGAAAUAUUUUUUAUUUUUGUUUUUAUUUAUUUUAGAGAGAGAGAGAGAGUGUGCAUGUGCAAGUGGGGGAAGGGGCAGAGAGAGAGAGAGAGAGAGAGAAUCCUAAGCAGGCUCCACUCUCAGUAUGGAGCCUGACGGUGUGCUCGAUCCCACAACCCUGGGAUCAUGACCUGAGUGGAAAUCGACACCCAACUGACUGACCACCCAGGUGCCCUGAGUCAGGAAGUGUUUCAACAGCCUCACUACAUCCUAACACUCCACACCUGGCCCCACUCCACACAAACCUUAAAAGCCCAACACUAAUUAACCUUCUAAAUCUGGGCUCCUCGUGCUACUCACUGGACUCCUUUGAAUCUCCUUUGCUGCAGUUCACCUCUGGGACUCUGGGCCCAGGUAAUCACCCUUUGUCCUGAGCUGCAUGGGGGUCCUUAUUUUCCUGUCCCCAGACCUGGGUGAUCACCAUGGGCAUCACAUCUGUGAUGUCUCCAAAUUAUUACAGGGCCUCCAGAACACUUGGUGGAUUUUCUAAAGCUGCUCUACUCCUCUGUCCUUCUGGGUUUCUGGUCUCACCGUGGGCACUUUCCUCACCCUCCUGCCAACCCCCUCUCCCCACCUACAAACAUGUUUAGGUUGCUGACCCAGCAGCAGAGCUGUCUAACCCUGUUGGCAGGAGACGGGCUGGCUCCAGAGAGCUGGCUGGAGGGGAACACAGAGGCUCACAUUUCUUCAGCUCGUGCCAAACGUUAUUCAGAUGUAGCUUUUCAGACAGACACAAAUUGCUCAUCCAAUAAACACAGAAGGGCUAAUCCCAGGACAUUUAUCACAGUGAGGAAAGAUGAGAGAAAGGACAGUCAUAAGAAGCCUUUGAGAGCUGGCCUGGUGUGGCUGGCCCAAGAGGAGGUGGUAAGACCUCCAUGUACUCCUGGGGUUUUCUCUUAGAGGGGCUGAAACCCGGCACCAGGGCUUUGGCAUUUGCUUUCAUUGUGACAUACAAAGCCUGAGUUGGUGCACACACUUCCCAUGGGGAACAGGGGGAAGAAAUCAACAUGGGUCAGGUACCUUUGUGGGCAGACAGACCUCACCUCCAGUAGUCAAUGGUCAUGUGAUAAUAGCUGGCUGCAAGGACUUCCUAUACUUCUCCCACUGUGCACACACACAAUGCCCUCAAGGCAUUCUGUAGCUGUUUGCAGAGUUCUUAGGAGGUGUCCCUCCUGGCCCAGAAUCUCUUAUUUCUGGACUUCUCAUUUCUGACAGGUGUGAGAGCAUGGCUGCUGAGAAAGCAGGUUGAGGGACUAGACUGGCCACAAUGGCAGGGGACCAGAGACAGGGGGAUCCUCUGUCCACACAAGAGGGCUGGCCAAGCCAUUGAAGUCCUUUGCUGAUCUCUUUCUGUUAGGUCCUUCUAAUGGGCCCCAUGAGCAUUCCCCUUUAGGGACUGUGCCUGGAAAUGAGAGAAACCGGGCCCUGCUCCAAGGCUCAAUCUCAGAGCCCAGGGAGAGGAGGACUAGGUGACACCUCUGUAGGCAGCCUGGGUCGUCCCAUUAUGCCUGGGUCUGUGCCAUGCCACUGGGACUGUGAAGCAUGUCCAGGAGUGAGGGUCUCCUUAGUGGGAGGAGGCAAUGACUAGAUCAGGGUAGGGGCAUGACAAUAAUUGCCAGCUUUCAUACAGUCAGGCACUAUUCUCACUUUUCUCACAACAACACAAUGAGUCAGGUGUAGUAUUAUUGGUACCGCUUUUCAGUGAGGCACUGAGAGUUUAGAUAACUAACCCAAGAUCAGCCAAUUAGUGAAUGGGAGGCUUGAGUAUCUGUGCUUUUAAUUUGCUGUGUGGUCAACAGGUGUAAGAUGCAAUGGUUUCAGAAAGCAGUUUAGAAAUUCCAAUUGUGUGGGGAUACUGAGGAGGCUGGGGUUUGGAGGUCUGGAGUCACCAGACCUAGGAUGAGCCCUUCCAAGGACAAUGCUAAGGCAGGUUUCCAUUGAGGACUCUCCCAGUUUUUCCAGAACUGAGAGGGGUCCUGGGACAUGGGACAGUCCUGAGCCAACGGGAAUAAGUUGACCAUCCGACUGUAACAAAAGGGCUGGGCUUGGAUCAUUGCCACAGACUUCAGGGCCCACCUGUGGACAAACUCCUCAUACCUCACAGGCUGGAGACUCACAGAGUGGCCUGCUGAUGAGGAAGAUGGGCAGAAUAACAACCAACUGGCAGCAGCUCUCCCCAGGUCCCUGAGAGGAGCAGACGAUACUGUCAGGUGGCUCUAGAGCAGGAACGCCACAGCUGUUAGAGCUUAGUGGAAACAAGGUGCCUUCUGGUAGGGCCCGUCCUAACACAGUCAGGAAGGCUGGGGCAAAUUCCCAGGUGAGAAGUGGCAGACAGGCAGGCAGGCAACAUGAACCUGGUGGUCUCAAAGGAAGCCAGAGGCAGGGCCCAGCCUACUGCCUGCAGGGAGGAAGUUUCUUUUCUGGUUCCUGAGACCUCGUUUUGGCCAGAAAUGACCUCUCAUCUGCCCAGCCGUCUGGUAAACCCACACUGACCUGCAUUCCUAAACCCAGCAGCUCUUAACCCUUCUCCCUCUCUGGCUUUGUCCUCACUUGUUAUAUGACCUUGUCUAUUUGUCAGUCUCUUUGGUUGCAGAGAUCUAAAACUCACUCAUGCAAUAUCUGGAAGAUUUCAAUAUAGGGAGAUUGGGUUCUGGGGCACAGAAAUGCUAUUAGGCCUCAGGAGGGAUGAGAACGGGGCAAGAAGCCUAAGGAAUGUAGGUAGUGCUCUCUUCAUUUCUAGGUCCUCUUUAUGGUCCGUUUCAUUCUCUCAGUUUUCUUUGCUUCUCUGUAUAUUGGCAGAAGGUGGAAUAUUUACAUAAUUUCAAUUCCAGCCAUAUCUAGGGUCUGACUGACUGUCCUGAAUCUCAGAUCCAAAUUCUCAGGAGAGACCCUCUGAUUGACCCAGCUUGGGUCAGAUGCUCACCCUUGGUCCAAUCAACUAUGGCUGGUGGGUGGGUUCAAGCAGUACAAAAAUGGAUAUGGAGGACCAGUCCCAGGAGGGUAAAGUUUUUUGAAAAAAGAGUCACCAUGAGCUGGCUAGCCACUUUCACACUCUAACUAUCCUAUAGAUUUCUGAAACUGACAGGUAACUGUGCCUUUCCUUCCCAGAGUUUAUAAAAUUUCCUCUCUGGAUCCCUCAGUGCUUGGUUCAGUGUUCUUCUCACUCUGAAAUAUUGUAAAAAUUAGUUUGAGUAACUGUGGUAUUCAAAAGACAGUUCUUAAGCCUGGUGACCUGUCACCUCUACCUUAUACAGUACCCUGUCUUUUCUCCUUUGACAGACCAGCAGCAUUGUAGUCUUUAUUAGAACUGCAGAAUUCCCUACCCCCUCCCACAUAUUUCCCACCCCCUCACAAAUAUUUGAGUAGCUUCUGCAUUUUAACAUCUCCCCAGAUGGUGUACACUAAAGUUUGAUAAGUACUGGAGGGGCUUCUUGUCUUAUCUCUCCUAAUAGAUUGGAAAUUCUGAGGGCAGGGACUCCAUUCAGCAGACUCUGGUGGACGCUAUGUCCAAAGUGCCUUGUUUAGUCUUGCAAAGCACAAAAGUCUUCGAAUACAGUAAUGAGGGGAUUUAAAACUUAGAAUAGUGGUUGAAGAGGAUAAAUUACUUAUAUAGUAUCUGAGUUUUGAAGUAAUCCUGCAGGAGAUGGAGGGAAGUUGGAGGUGUAGAUGAAGCAAACAUGGGGUGAUAGAAACAUUGAGGUUCAUUAUACUAUUCUCCCCACUUUUGUGUAUUUUUGAAAUUUUCCAUAAUAAAAAUUGAAAGCAAGGAAUAAUGGUGGGAUGCAUUAUAAGAAAUCGUCUAGCUGCUCAACAUAAAUUUGUUUCCUGGCCAAAUGAAGUAAACGAAGUAAAUCCAUUCCACCUCCAAGUGGGAUUGCACAAUCCCUGUCAGAGAUUUUUGGAGGAUGGGAGAAGUUUGGAACAUGGGUCAUGUGCAAAUGACUUUCUAAUUUUACAAAAGUAACGGUGGUAGUCAGUUUCUUUCUGUCACUUCAAGAUGACUUAAGGCAAAGAGGGGGAGAUUCGCCAAUUCAUAUAAUUGAUCAGUACAGGGCCAGAUAUGGCCAUACUAGGACACAUACCCCAUGACUCCAUGUUGGCUUAAUUCUCAGGCAGGCUCUUUCCACUUGAUAGCUGUAGGGGGUGAAAUAGGGAACCCUUGAAAUUCAUGUCUUCCCUCAGAAUAAAUCUUGUUUGGAAAUAGGUCUUUGCAGAUGCAAUUAGUUAAGUCAAGAUGAGGUCAUACUGGAUUAGAGUGGGCCCUAUUUCCAGUGAUUGGUGUCCUAGUAAGAAGAGGAGAGGACACACUGACAGGAGAGAAACAUACACACAGAGAAGGCCAUGUGAACAUGGAGGCAGAUUGGAGUGAUGCAGCUAAAAGCCAAUGAACACUGUGGUUGCUGGGAGCCACCGGGAGCAAGAAGAGGCAAGGAAAGAUUCUUUCCUAGAGAUUUCAGAAGGAGGAUGGCCCUACUAACCUCCUAAUUUCAGAUUUCUAGCUUCCAUAGC